rnacentral:rRNA from 1 species
UACAGAGGUCUCAAGCGUUGUUCGGAUUCAUUGGGCGUAAAGGGUGCGUAGGCGGCGCGGUAAGUCGGGUGUGAAAUCUCGGAGCUUAACUCCGAAACUGCAUUCGAUACUGCCGUGCUUGAGGACUGGAGAGGAGACUGGAAUUUACGGUGUAGCGGUGAAAUGCGUAGAUAUCGUAAGGAAGACCAGUGGCGAAGGCGGCUCACUGGUCCAUAACUGACGCUGAGGCUCGAAAGCGUGGGGAGCGAACAGG